rnacentral:rRNA from 1 species
CAUCGGUGGACAGGUGGUGCGAUGGUUGUCGUCAGCUCGUGUCGUGAGAUGUUGGGUUAAGUCCCGCAACGAGCGCAACCCCUAUUGUUAGUUGCCAUCAUUCAGUUGGGCACUCUAGCGAGACUGCCGGUAAUAAACCGGAGGAAGGUGGGGAUGACGUCAAAUCAUCAUGCCCCUUAUGACCUGGGCUACACACGUGCUACAAUGGUUGGUACAACGAGUUGCGAGUCGGUGACGGCGAGCUAAUCUCUUAAAGCCAAUCUCAGUUCGGAUUGUAGGCUGCAACUCGCCUACAUGAAGUCGGAAUCGCUAGUAAUCGCGGAUCAGCACGCCGCGGUGAAUACGUUCCCGGGCCUU